rnacentral:rRNA from 1 species
CCUACGGGAGGCAGCAGUGAGGAAUAUUGGUCAAUGGGCGGGAGCCUGAACCAGCCAAGCCGCGUGAGGGAAGAAGGUACAGCGUAUCGUAAACCUCUUUUGUCAGGGAACAAAGGCGGGGACUAGUCCCCGGAUGAGGGUACCUGAAGAAAAAGCAUCGGCUAACUCCGUGCCAGCAGCCGCGGUAAUACGGAGGAUGCGAGCGUUAUCCGGAUUUAUUGGGUUUAAAGGGUGCGCAGGCGGCCUGUUAAGUCAGCGGUAAAAGCCCGGGGCUCAACCCCGGCGAGCCGUUGAAACUGGCGGGCUGGAGUUGGAGAGAAGUACGCGGAAUGCGCGGUGUAGCAGUGAAAUGCGUAGAUAUCGAGAGGAACACUCGUGGCGAAGGCGGGUUCCUGGACAUUAACUGACGCUGAGGCACGAAGGCCAGGGGAGCGAAAGGGAUUAGAUACCCCUGUAGUC